UGGGGAAUAUUGCACAAUGGGCGCAAGCCUGAUGCAGCCAUGCCGCGUGUGUGAAGAAGGCCUUCGGGUUGUAAAGCACUUUCAGCGGGGAGGAAGGCGGUGAGGUUAAUAACCUCAUCGAUUGACGUUACCCGCAGAAGAAGCACCGGCUAACUCCGUGCCAGCAGCCGCGGUAAUACGGAGGGUGCAAGCGUUAAUCGGAAUUACUGGGCGUAAAGCGCACGCAGGCGGUCUGUCAAGUCGGAUGUGAAAUCCCCGGGCUCAACCUGGGAACUGCAUUCGAAACUGGCAGGCUAGAGUCUUGUAGAGGGGGGUAGAAUUCAAGGUGUAGCGGUGAAAUGCGUAGAGAUCUGGAGGAAUACCGGUGGCGAAGGCGGCCCCCUGGACAAAGACUGACGCUCAGGUGCGAAAGCGUGGGGAGCAAACAGG
rnacentral:rRNA from 1 species